UGGAGAAGAAGUAUUCUCCUGUUGGGGGCUGGCCGGGAGAGAGGGGAGUCUGAACAUUCUGAGGGAGGCGCAGGAUUCUAGAGGCUCCGAGUCUUUCCUGGAAUCUUUUAUGUCAGGUACCCCCAGAGAGAGGAGCAGCCUUCUCACCCUGGCCUCUGCAGAGAAAAGGCCAUGUGAGGGCAUGGCAAGACAGGCGACUGUCCACAAGCCAGGGAGAGAGCCCUCCUUAAAAACCAAAUGGAUCAACACCUAAAUCUUGGACUUCAAGCUCCCAGAACUGUGAGAAAAUUAAUUUCUGUCGUUUAAGCUGCCUGGUCUGUGGCAUUUUGUUAUAACAGCCUGAGCUGACUACGACACCCUCUUGGUAAAGAACUUUCAAGGAGGAAGUAUGAUUUGGAUGCUCAUUCUGCCACUUACAAGCUGAGGGGCCUUGGGUUGGCACUGCACAGAGAUGGAACCUGAUGAAACGGCCCCAUUUGAGUGCCUGCUGUAUCGUGUUGGCUCUGCUUCCUGCAGCUGUGCUCCGAGAUGAGCCUUUCAGUCAUCGCUCCCUAAUAGCCCCAUCUCCCCGAAUUUGGGAGGACGCACAUUCCUCUCCUUGCUCACAUGCCCCACUUCAAGCCAUCUGCACACUCUACAGGGAACUUGCCUCCUGACGUCCUGAUGUGCAACGCCAUCCAAAUCCUCUGCUGGAAUCUCACUAUUCACACCACUGAUGCCCCUGGAGCAUGAAACAGAAAGGCCAGUCUUCUUGUCUUUUUAUUCUAAAUGUUUAAUACAGAUUCCAUGGACUUGGUCCAUAAUAAUAUGAGCAUAGUCUUACAUCAAUCCUUUUACUAAUUUCUCAUCAUCUCCCUCAUCCUUGUCCUUUAGUGAUUGUUCCAGACCUUCUCUUCUUAUCCUCGUACUCUCCUCUUUGGUAUAGUGGUGAGUAAAAGAAAGAAAAAAAAGGUCCUAAUGUGGCUCAUAUCAUCAUGGUUUAUUUAUUACCUGGAGGAUUUUUGAGGCUAUGAACAUUGUUUUAUUUUCUGCUGUAUCCCCAGCACCUAGCACAGAUGUGUGUGUACCAGGGCCUGCACGUAUAAGCUCUAUGAUGCUGCUAUAACAUGUAGUUCUCCCU